UAUUAUACAUAAAGAGUUCUGGAUAAAUUCUAAUAUAAAGUCAGACAUAAUAUUGCAUAGUUCUAUUCUAUAUGUAUACCCACGGAACAUAGAUUUAUCUUAUAAUAAUAUACUUUUUUUUUUAUUUAUUAAACUAGUCAACAUGAAAAUAUAUAUAAAAACAUGCAUGUAGUUAUUUCUGCGUUGACUUUUAAACUUGUUUGAUAAAUUCCAUCCAUCUGUACAUGCUGUAAGAAAUAAAGAUAUUCGUUUAAAAACUGAAUUUAUACUGGCAUUAUUUUCUGUUAUGUUGUAAGCAAAAUUGAUAUAACAAAACUAUACAAUGUUUAAAGCAGGCUAAUGACAGUACUUCCUGUUUACAAACUAUCUGCAAACAGUUACGUUAAAUAUUGUUGAAAUAUAAAAUGACGUUAAAACAUAUCAUUAAACAAAAAACUUAAAAAUUGAAUGCCGGCUUUAUGCGAUACAGUUAACGUCUCCUUUUUCUAUAUUAAACAGUUGAAAUGGAAUAGCACUAAAAUUUCAUCAGACACA
rnacentral:lncRNA from 1 species